AGAAGCUGUCCCCACAGAGGAGCCUCGUGUUGGGGGAUGGACUCAGCAGCAGGUGGGGGAGCGGACCCGUUCAUUCCCGGUGUACCGGAUGAACCGUCCCGCUCCAUGACGUCGCUGCUUCCGUCUCCUGAACGUGUCGUGUCGCUUCAGAAGAGUUUGUAAAGAAACAUCGUUUCAGGACAGUUUGUUCGCCUCAGCCCUGACGGUGCUCCCUCCUCCUCCCUGACCCCAUGACACCGGAUAAAAACAGACGUGUCGCCGCUUCUCUUCACCGAGUAAUCCAGACAACGAGGACAGUAGAUCCACUGCAUUCAUCUGUGGAGAUGCGUCAGGCUUUUUGGUAACAUGCAGCAUGCAAAUGCCAAUUAAACGUUCACGAUUAACCCAAGAGAGAUGCUGAGCUGUUUGCCCAUUACUCUGACUGCAAGCAGGAGAUCUCUCAGAUGUUGCUAUCAGGGGAGCUGUGCACCAGUUAAACCUGCCAUAGCUUUGAAGGAGGCUGAGGACAGGAGGAGGAGAAGGUGGAGAACACUACAGGAAGGGAAACGUGGAUCCAAAAUAUCAAAGAGGGAAAUUUACAACAGUGGUUAGAUAAAACCUACGGGGCUGUGUGAGUUGUCUUAAAAAGAUUAAGGCCAAGGUCUCACUCAAUAUGUGAUUUCCUCAAGUUGUGAUGAGGAAUUAUUUCACAUGUAACUCCUAAGCAUCUGUGUUUUUAGUGGUAUAUUUUGUCUUGGUGAUUAUUUCGUAAUUAUGUUGUUUAAUUAUUUCUUAAUUAUGUAGUUUCCUUAUUACGGUUCUGUUGAAGCUGUUACUGUGGGUGACGAUGAGCUGCUUCAUGUGCUCCCAUACUGGAGCCUGCAUAUUGGCGUAGAGUUAGAUGAGUAUUUUGGAGUUAUCAUAAUGGCUGGAUCAUUUUGUCCUAUGCUGCAAAAUUGGAAAUUAAAUU